UCAGACGGCCGGGCGGUCGCGGCGCCUCCAUUUCGGUGGAGGUGUCGAGGAAAGUCCGGGCUCCACGACGACAUGGCGGCGGGUAACGCCCGCCGGGGGUGACCCCAGGGAUAGCGCCACAGAGAGCAGACCGCCGGCGCCUCGGCGUCGGUAAGGGUGAAAGGGUGCGGUAAGAGCGCACCGGGUCGCUGGUAACAGAGGCCGCAUGGCAAGCCCCGCCAGGAGCAAGACCGAAUAGGGAUCCCGCGCCUUCGCAAGGAGGUAGGGCCGUCGCCGGCCCGAGGGAUCCGGGUAGGUCGCGAGAACCGGCCCGCGAGGGUCGGUCCAGAGGAAUGACCGCCGCGUUCCCGCAAGGGGGCGGCACAGAACCCGGCUUACAGGCCGUCUGAUCCC
rnacentral:RNase_P_RNA from 1 species